rnacentral:rRNA from 1 species
UGCAAGUCGACGGUAACAGGAAGCAGCUUGCUGCUUUGCUGACGAGUGGCGCCACGGGUGAGUAAUGUCUGGGAAACUGCCUGAUGGAGGGGGAUAACUACUGGAAACGGUAGCUAAUACCGCAUAACGUCGCAAGACCAAAGAGGGGGACCUUCGGGCCUCUUGCCAUCGGAUGUGCCCAGAUGGGAUUAGCUUGUUGGUGGGGUAACGGCUCACCAAGGCGACGAUCCCUAGCUGGUCUGAGAGGAUGACCAGCCACACUGGAACUGAGACACGGUCCAGACUCCUACGGGAGGCAGCAGUGGGGAAUAUUGCAAAUGGGCGCAAGCCUGAUGCACCAUGCCGCGUGUAUGAAGAAGGCCUUCGGUUGUAAAGUACUUUCGCGGGGAGGAAGGGAUAAAGUUAUACUUUG